rnacentral:lncRNA from 1 species
CGUUCUGUGCAUAAUAAUGACCUAAAACUGGUAAACAAGCCUGGAGACAAGCGCAAUGGCAGGCUGCAGUUCACGUCGCCACGGCUCCUGGACAAGGACAACGCGUUCUCCUGCAAACAGGAGCCGCCCGGAGGUUCUGCUGGGGGUUGUUCGCUACGCGGCGCCCAGCCAGGCGGUGCACUCGGGGACGCGAGUGCGAAGGGGAGUAGCCAGGGCGCUCUUCGGGCCUUAGACACCAGGUGGGCGCUCUGGAGAGUCGGAAGAGGGGAUCCGAGCUCCUGGCUAUUCCUGACGCGGUGCGCAGUGCGCUCCGGCAGUGCGCAAGGAGGUGACCCCUACCUGGAGGAGUGUGGUGCGUGGGUUGGGUCCCCCGUACUCCCUCCCCACGGGCCUCCUCUGUAUAUUGAGGGGGGCAUAAGAGGUGACUUCCGUGUUUGGGACCUGGGGCUCGAGGCUAGGGAAGUGUCCAGAGCCAAAAUUCAUCCACGCAUCAGGCUCCACGUGGAGCUGCCUCAGGGCCGAGAAAGGGUGCUCAGGGGUACAGGUGGGAGGGUUAAAGUUUGGGGAUGGGGUACGGUGGUUUGGGGAGUGUCGGCUUUCGGAGAUCUUCAGGAGAAAGCUCAGAGCUCCGACUUGCUGUCCCCAAGGGUUGGAGCCUGGGGUGCUGGAGGGGGUCGCAGACUCGGGCAGGAGUUUAUAAACUGUGGGACAAGACGGAGGGGCCGCGACCGAAUCUCUCGGCCCUUCUGGGCCUCAGGAGACGCCGGCAUGAAACAGGCGUGCCAAGCUGGGGGACGGCGCUUUAGACUCUGGCGAACCGCUCUCCAAGACGCAAGGACACAGGAUUUCCGCGGAUCGACCCUGCGCAGCGUUUGGUGGCUGCCAACGCUCGCCCUAGAUCUCCUGGCGGAGGGACCCUCCUUUGGAUUGCUGCUCGGCGAGUGGUUUCCCGACACGUGGUCCCUCAGUGCUUGGUGUAGAGCCGCUCGGGGCGUGCCGUCGCGGGGAGGGGACCCGGCCGGCCGGGCAGGAUCCCGCCGGUCCCGCGCGGCCAGCCCCUGCCCCUGGCACUCACACUCCGUCGCCAGUCCCCAACCUUGCGGACUGGCAAACUCUAGACGCGGGGUCCCUACGGCGCUGGGGUGGGGGUGGUGCAGGGCGGGUGGAGCUGCUAACCCGGGGAAGCCAGUUCACGAGAAUUGGGAGCCUGUGGAAUUUGACCCUGUGGCACCAAAGCGAAAACAAGGGGGAAAGGUGUCUGUUCUCUGUUUUGUUUCUUUUUUGGGCACAAACGCGUAA